AGGGACGAAAGGGUGGACAAGGCUGUCAGAAGCGCCGAACAACCUGGACCAGACUGGCAGACACGUGACGUCAGAGUAAUUGGAUCAUGCGAUAAUUACUUGGUGGAAAUAUAUGUCUUGCGACACAUCAGAUCUCCAGUCAGAAGAGGAGGCAAUUCCUAAAAAGAGGAAGCCAAUGCCGGUGACAGCGAACACGCCAGGGGGACACGCCCACCUGGCGAGGGGCGAGGUGUGGUUCAGACACCAUUGCCUGCUGUG